AGUAUAAUUGCUGGAUCAUAUGGUAAGAGUAUUUUUAGUUUUGUAAGAAACUAGCAAGCUGUCUUCCAAAGGGGCUGCAACUUUUUGCGUCUCCAUCAGCAAU
rnacentral:pre_miRNA from 1 species